AUUGAACGCUGGCGGAAUGCUUUACACAUGCAAGUCGAACGGUAGAGGGGGCAACCCCUCGAGAGUGGCGAACGGGUGAGUAAUAUAUCGGAACGUGCCCAGUCGUGGGGGAUAACGUAGCGAAAGUUACGCUAAUACCGCAUACGAUCUAUGGAUGAAACGCGGGGGACCGUAAGGCCUCGCGCGAUUGGAGCGGCCGAAUAUCAGAUUUAGGGUAGUUGGUGGGGUAAAAGGCCUCACCAAGCCAACGAUCUGUAGCUGGUCUGAGAGGACGACCAGCCACACUGGAACUGAGACACGGUCCAGACUCCUACGGGAGGCAGCAGUGGGGGAAUUUUGGACCAAUGGACGCAAGUCUGAUCCAGCCAUUCCGCGUGCAGGAUGAAGGCCCUCGGGUUGUAAACUGCUUUUGUACGGAACGAAAAGGUCUCUCUUAAUACGGGAGGCUCAUGACGGUACCGUAAGAAUAA
rnacentral:rRNA from 1 species